GACGAACGCUGGCGGCGUGCUUAACACAUGCAAGUCGAACGGAAAGGCCCUGCUUUUGUGGGGUGCUCGAGUGGCGAACGGGUGAGUAACACGUGAGUAACCUGCCCUUGACUUUGGGAUAACUUCAGGAAACUGGGGCUAAUACCGGAUAGGAGCUCCUGCUGCAUGGUGGGGGUUGGAAAGUUUCGGCGGUUGGGGAUGGACUCGCGGCUUAUCAGCUUGUUGGUGGGGUAGUGGCUUACCAAGGCUUUGACGGGUAGCCGGCCUGAGAGGGUGACCGGCCACAUUGGGACUGCGGUACGGCCCAGACUCCUACGGGCGGCAGCAGUGGGGAAUAUUGCACAAUGGGCGGAAGCCUGAUGCAGCAACGCCGCGUGCGGGAUGACGGCCUUCGGGUUGUAAACCGCUUUCGCCUGUGACGAAGCGUGAGUGACGGUAAUGGGUAAAGAAGCACCGGCUAACUACGUG
rnacentral:rRNA from 1 species